GGAAAAUGGAUCAUUUUGAGUUUAUAAUCAGUGUUUUAAUUUAUUUGUGCAUGGUGCAAUAUUCGAACGGAAUAACGACUGUUAGCCAAAAAAAUAAUAAAAAUAGUAAAUUGGAAACCUACUGUGUUACAAACAAUGAAAGCGAAACAUUAAGUUGGAUAACACCGUAUGAUAAAUCGUUUUAUAAUUUUAAAAGUGAUGAUACAAGUGAUAUUACUAAAUUCAAUGAUUGGCUAUUUGAAAAUAGUUAUCAAUCUUCUUUAGGACCAGUUUUAGAUCCCAGGUGGCAAAAUUUCGAAACGUUUGUAAGUAAAAAUGAUCAAGAAGUAAAUAAAUAUUUGAAGCAGAAUUUGGAUGAAUACUUUGAAUUAACGUUUUCGAUAAAAUAUGACGAGGAUGCAGAAAUGUCAAUUUAUUCUAAUAGGAAUUGGAAGCAAACAAUAUCAUUUAAAAAUAAUAUACUAACAUCACAAAUAUGUCGAGAUAAAACUUCGGCCAAUUAUUGUAAUAAAUAUAAUAAUAUAAAAGAGAAUUUGAAAAAAUUUUCACAAUACAGUAAAUAUUCGUGGAAUCACUAUACUAUAAGAUAUAAUAAAGACAUAUAUACUUUGUUACUGAAUGGAAUAUCUAUAGCAGAAGAUUCUAUUCCAUACUAUGGUCUAAGUAGUAUUUAUAUGAAAUCGAUGAAAGGCGCAAUUUGGAAACUACACAUAUACGAAUAUUAUCGAACGGAUUAUGAUGUGUCAAAUAUUAUAUUCUUGAAUAGCAUACAGGCUUCUAACAAUAAGUUAUGCAUGUCCGCUUAUUUUUAUUUUGAUCAUGAAUUAACAAUUCAAAUAAAACAAGAUAAAACUAUCA